AUUGAACGCUGGCGGCAGGCCUAACACAUGCAAGUCGAGCGGCAGCGCGGGGCAACCUGGCGGCGAGCGGCGGACGGGUGAGGAAUGCAUCGGAAUCUACCCUGUCGUGGGGGAUAACGUAGGGAAACUUACGCUAAUACCGCAUACGACCGAGAGGUGAAAGUGGGGGACCGCAAGGCCUCACGCGAUUGGAUGAGCCGAUGCCGGAUUAGCUAGUUGGUAGGGUAAAGGCCUACCAAGGCAACGAUCCGUAGCUGGUCUGAGAGGAUGAUCAGCCACACUGGGACUGAGACACGGCCCAGACUCCUACGGGAGGCAGCAGUGGGAAUAUUGGACAAUGGGCGCAAGCCUGAUCCAGCCAUG
rnacentral:rRNA from 1 species